rnacentral:rRNA from 1 species
GAGUUUGAUCGUGGCUCAGAUUGAACGCUGGCGGCAUGCCUUACACAUGCAAGUCGAACGGCAGCAUGAUCUAGCUUGCUAGAUUGAUGGCGAGUGGCGAACGGGUGAGUAAUACAUCGGAACGUGCCCUGUAGUGGGGGAUAACUAGUCGAAAGAUUAGCUAAUACCGCAUACGACCUGAGGGUGAAAGUGGGGGACCGCAAGGCCUCAUGCUAUAGGAGCGGCCGAUGUCUGAUUAGCUAGUUGGUGGGGUAAAGGCCCACCAAGGCGACGAUCAGUAGCUGGUCUGAGAGGACGAUCAGCCACACUGGGACUGAGACACGGCCCAGACUCCUACGGGAGGCAGCAGUGGGGAAUUUUGGACAAUGGGCGAAAGCCUGAUCCAGCAAUGCCGCGUGUGUGAAGAAGGCCUCGGUGU